UUGACCUCGAAUCAGGUAGGAAUACCCGCUGAACUUAAGCAUAUCAAUAAGCGGAGGAAAAGAAACCAACAGGGAUUGCCCCAGUAACGGCGAGUGAAGCGGCAACAGCUCAAAUUUGAAAUCUGGCCCCCCGGGGCCCGAGUUGUAAUUUGCAGAGGAUGCUUUUGGCGAGGCGCCUUCCGAGUUCCCUGGAACGGGACGCCACAGAGGGUGAGAGCCCCGUCUGGUCGGACGCCGAGCCUCUGUAAAGCUCCUUCGACGAGUCGAGUAGUUUGGGAAUGCUGCUCUAAAUGGGAGGUAUAUGUCUUCUAAAGCUAAAUACCGGCCAGAGACCGAUAGCGCACAAGUAGAGUGAUCGAAAGAUGAAAAGCACUUUGAAAAGAGGGUUAAAUAGUACGUGAAAUUGUUGAAAGGGAAGCGCUUGUGACCAGACUUGGGCCCGGCGGAUCACCCAGCGUUCUCGCUGGUGCACUCCGGCGGGCCCAGGCCAGCAUCAGCUCGUCCCGGGGGACAAAGGCGGGGGGAACGUGGCUCCUCCGGGAGUGUUAUAGCCCACCGCGCAAUGCCCUGGGGCGGGCUGAGGACCGCGCAUCUGCAUGGAUGCUGGCGUAAUGGUCAUCAGCGACCCGUCUUGAAACACGGACCAA
rnacentral:rRNA from 1 species